rnacentral:rRNA from 1 species
AUGUCCUACGGGACGCAGCAGUGGGGAAUAUUGCACAAUGGGGGAAACCCUGAUGCAGCGACGCCGCGUGAGUGAAGAAGUACUUCGGUAUGUAAAGCUCUAUCAGCAGGAACGAGACAAGACGGUACCUGACUAAGAAGCCCCGGCUAACUACGUGCCAGCAGCCGCGGUAAUACGUAGGGGGCAAGCGUUAUCCGGAAUCACUGGGUGUAAAGGGAGCGUAGACGGCUGAGCAAGCCUGAAGUGAAAGGCAGGGGCCCAACCCCUGGACUGCUUUGGGACCUGCACGGCUGGAGGGCAGGAGG